ensembl:lncRNA
GUUUAUGAUUACAGUAUUAUGAUUAUUAUUUACAAUAAUAAUGAUGAUGAUGGCAGCAGCAGCAGAUUCUUUGAGCAAAACAACGUCAGACAGCUUUUCGCAAAUCUUUUUAUUUCCUCUCACCCUAACACACACUUUUUUUCCAUGCAGCCCGUCUAGGUGGUCCGUGUCCUCCCACCUCCCACCUGGUCCCACUACCGGUUGCAUGAAGAGCAUGAUUAGAUUGCUGUCAGACUCUAGCACAGUCCCCAUCCAACCAUCGAUCGAACCAUCCACUCAUCCAUCCAUCCAACCAGUAAGAUAAAACUACAUUUACAAUCCCGCAAACAUUUGUAGUAACGCAAAUAUCAAUUCUACCAUCUUCUUUUCAUGAAGACAUUCUAAAAGAGUUAAAUCAAUAUUUCGGUCUUCGCUGCUUUUGAAAACCCAAUUUGCCUUUAAGUUCUAGACACACUAAAUGGACAAACAAUUGUCACUCAGGGUUUUGUAGCUUAGACCGCCGCCUUGCUCUCUCAU